AGGGGCUCUAAAGUUCACGUAGACUGAGAGAAGGGAGAAGGUGACAUCUACUCUCAUUGUGGUUUUAGAGCCACGUGUUCUCAAGUUGAAAUUGAUGAUAUGACAGGCACUCACAAGAGUUUCCCUCUUGUUGGCUAGGCUGAAGUACAGUGGUGUGAUCUCGGCUCACUGCAACCUCUGCCUCCCAGGUUCAAGUGAUUCUCCUGCCUCAGCCUCCAGAGUAGCUGCGAUUACAGGCAUGCAUCAUCAUGCCUGACUAAUUUUUGUAUUUUUAGUAGAGACAGGGUUUCACCAUGUUGGCCAGGCUGGUCUCGAACUCCUGACUUCAGGUGAUCCACCCACUUCAGCUUCCCAAAGUGCUGGGAUUACAGGCAUAAGCCACUGCACCCAGCCUUUAAUGGUACUUUUCUAAUCGUCAUUUAAAUGCCAGUCAAAGAAGAUAUCCUUAUUGCUUAUAAAAUGGAGUAUGCAAUGUAGCUUUCAGCUUAUUUUUAAUUCACUACAGAACAUCAUCAUGGAUGCUUCUCUCAGUAUAAAUCUUGUUAUGGACACAGGACAGGCAUGUGUACACUUUAUUCUACUGUAGCAGGAGUUAGAAUCUGAAUGUUUUAUGAAUCUGAGUGUAACAUAAUACUUUACCUGUUCUAGAUACAGGUUGAUAGAAGCAACUCUGUCUUCUGUUUUCUGAGUGAUAUUAAAUAGUUCUAUCAGCUAAAA